rnacentral:rRNA from 1 species
GACGAACCGUGCGAACGUUGUUCGGAAUCACUGGGCUUAAAGGGUGCGUAGGCGGGCAGGUAAGUCCGUGGUGAAAUCUCUGAGCUUAACUCAGAAACUGCCAUGGAUACUAUUUGUCUUGAAUAUUGUGGAGGUAAGCGGAAUAUGUCAUGUAGCGGUGAAAUGCUUAGAUAUGACAUAGAACACCAAUUGCGAAGGCAGCUUACUACACAGUUAUUGACGCUGAGGCACGAAAGCGUGGGGAUCAAACAGG